UACAGAGGGGGCGAGCGUUGUUCGGAAUUACUGGGCGUAAAGGGCGCGUAGGCGGCCCGCUAAGUCGAACGUGAAAUCCACAGGCUCAACCUGGGAACUGCGUCCGAUACUGGCAGGCUUGAAUCCGGGAGAGGGAUGUGGAAUUCCAGGUGUAGCGGUGAAAUGCGUAGAUAUCUGGAGGAACACCGGUGGCGAAGGCGGCAUCCUGGACCGGUAUUGACGCUGAGGCGCGAAAGCUAGGGGAGCAAACGGG
rnacentral:rRNA from 1 species